UGCAGCAUUGUAAACAUGACACGUCACCGUUUGCAGCAGUACACACGUUUUCCACUAGGACACCGAGGUUUCAGAUCACCCCUCCUGUGUCGUGCUGGUUCAGCAACAGGUGGACUAUUGUAGCGAACACGUGCAUGUUCGACCAUCGACAGACGUCGCACCCUCGCCAUUCGUUAUUACUGUACGGAGAGACGUAUGGACUCAUGGACUGACGGAAACGGUCAUCUUAUACCAUCCAAUUGCUGCCUCUCCGGAUUGGUGGAAUGCAUGGCACCUCAAGUAAAAGGUUAAUCUUGUCUGUCAGGGAAUAUAGAGACCGAGCCGGGAGGUAAGCAACGCCCGAAAAGACGAUCUAAAGGAAGAGGAGAAGUUGGUUGAUUAUUAGUCGCUAUUGCUUUGCUGUAGUGGGUUGCGAUCAGCAUCUCAGAAUUAACAUAACUGACGGUGAUUUGCUCGUUACACUAUUAUUCGAGAUUCUGACAAUAGUAUUCAAAUAUUUGACUUCCGUACUCUUUCACGGUAUUUCCGUAGACUUCUCACUUUUCUGUAGUUAUCACAAAAUGGAAAACAUUAAUAAUAGUUCAAGGCACAACUACACUACACUUGAGAGUGGAAGAGACUACGCAGCUGGUCGUAUGUAACGAAUGACACGCUAAUCAAAUGAUUUUGGUUGACUUAUCAGGAGCCGAAUUGCUUCUCGUCAAGAGGUUACCGACUUUAUUUCUCGAGGUUCACCCCUUCUCUCUGAGAGAAAGCGUAAAAAGGGGUAGAAAUUAAGAAAAUUUUGAGAAAUCACGGAAAUUUAAGGAUAUUCUGGGAAUAAAAAUAAAUAUCCUUAAAACGUCCGUUAAAGUGUUUUGGGUGAUUAUUUUGUUAGUUUUAACUAAUUCAGGUUUAUUAAGGUGAAUUACUUGUGAACUGUUCGUAAUUUCGUAUAUUUUUUUUACAAAACGCCAUUAUUUUGAAGUAUUCUUUUGUUAUGUAGCUAUAUAACAACUCUGUAGUCGCCAGAUAAGAAAUAUAGCAGACGGCCUAACGACUUGAAAAUGGCGCUAUGAAAAAUCUAGAAUCAGACGUUUUCUGUCUUUUGAGGAAGAAUGGACUAAAUCUGGUGUCUCAUAUGGUGGGUCAAUAUUCUUAAACAACUAAGAUAUAACAACAAGGGAUCAACCACAAGCCAAUCGGGGUUCACAUUUCGGGCAUCGGGACGGAGCUCUCGGAGUGCGAUCGGGGUAUGUAGUCGGCGAUACAAACCCGAUUCCAAUCAAUCGAUUCAUGGUAAAUCCUAAUCGAUCAAGUAUUUCGACCUGAUAACAAACCCGAUAACACCUUAUUCUGCCCGCCUACCCCGAUUAAAAUAAUUUUCUUUAAUUUGAUUCAAUUUUCUCGUGAUUUAUCCGAUGGGUAUAAGUAGGAAAAGCUAGAAAUACUUGGAAAAAUAAAGAAAUCACAUGAAAAUAGGGAAAUCGUAGAAAUUUAGGGAAACCACGGGAAUUGCGGGAAUUUACGGUCUUUUAGGAAAUCAUAGAAAUUACAACAAUUUAAGGAAUUUCACUUAAUAUGGGGUCAGUAGGGGAUGAUGCACGAGAGAGUUCGCUUGAUUCUUAGUAAACUUAGCAAAUGGGCCAAUUGUGAGGUUACUUAAAAUCUCACGCCUUGCACUGAAAAAAUGAGUACUCGGCAGACCUACGUCCGAUUUUAAGCAUGUUUCAUUAAUUAACCAGAGAGAAUCUCGACUAGGAAAAAACGUAGAGAAAUAAAGUGUAGAAUAAACUUAAAAUUUCAGCAAAAGUUUUUCCUUAAAUAACGGAUAAGCAAACGAUUUCUUUUAUCUUCUCACUUUCGCUCUAACCCUCUCGUGUAAAUUUUCCUCUCUGGUUUUGGCAGGCAGGCAGGCAUAGUUUUUCAAUUUUGCAACUCAGCAUCCGGUACAACUCUGUGGAAAUCUCUUUUUCCAAUUCCUCUGCGUGUGGCCCUCACCCUAUCUAGGAAACAUUCCUCAGCCAGUCAGCCUCAAGGGAAGAGGGGGACAUUUGGCGUUGGGGAGCUGAGUAGAAACCCGGCAAACGCUCAAGAAAGCUGUCCGAUUAAAUUUGGUUCAAACUUAAUAUACUACCUUAAGACAUCAUUUGCACCCCUUAAAACUGGUACAGAUAAAUUUUUCUUUGCAAAAGAAAUAUUUCUAUGCGAAUUAGAAGUCUCUAAUUAAAAGUUUGGGAUAGUAGGUAAAUGCCGGCCCUUAAGAUGAAUUGGAUUUAAAGGGUCCUAUUCGGUAAGCUCCUAUUUCGUUUGGUCCUAUUUCUCCGGUUACCAAGUACAGCAACAGGGUAUUAGGCUAUGGUAACAACAUCAUACAGUAACGAUUGUUUUUUUACAUCAGUGUUUUAAAGAGCAACAAUGGAAAUCCUGGUAUUUGGUGCAUCUGGAUUUUCAAUUCUAAAUUGCAUUAACAAUUUUACAGAACGAUAUCUGCGUUAGGGAACAAAAACAAUUUUUAAAGAGUUGGCAAAGGAACAGCGGACAUUAACAACUUGGGAUUACUAGGAAAUGACUGGAUUAUUGCUGGGAAUCGAAUGAAAUGGUAAACAAAUUGCAUUUCUUUACCAAUAACGGUUCCCGGUGUCUGGAAAAGAACUUGCAGUUUCCGAAGCACUGCUAGAGUGCCUGGAAUCAGACGACGGUUUUUUCAGUUCAUUUCUUUGCGACCACCUUGACAAGACGGGAGAGGUUGGUAUUAUAAUGGGAUCAUUGGAUCUGCCAAUUGAAUGUGAUAGUUCCAGGGUUAAUGAUGACUGCUUCACUUGGCGGGCUCGAUUCCUCCUGGGAUCUAGCAAAGCAUUGCAGAAACUUCCAUCCUUGCGCUGGUCGAAUGUACAUGAGACUGGCUGAUCUGGAAUAGAUUCACUAGAGUCAUUUCCCUCUUUACGUGUAGAUAGCGUCUCCACCGACAGUCGAGUAAGUGAUCCGUUCCCCCCUUCCGACAGAGUCCACUGGUGUGAUUGUCCAAUAUGAGAUUGCUGAUGAGCACUUUUCAAUCGAUUGGGACGACGGUUUGUCGAUACAACUAGCUCUUCAGUUUUUCUGGCAAAAUUCGGAUUUACUGACGGACGGAUGGGUUCCAGCUGCUUCAACGGUAUGCCGUAAUUCUCCAAAUCGACGGACGAUAGUCCCGUCAUUUUCAGUAUGGAAGGAUAUCGAACUUUUAACGAAUGAGGAGGAAGCGGUUCGUCAUUGUUGUACCUGUGAUGUUUUUUUGGCAACGGAGACGAAGGAGAUGUGGAAGUUGACGACACCGAUUGACUCUGAUGCAUCGAGUUCUUGACAGCAUAUCUUUCUUCGACGUGACGCAAGCAAUGUAUAAGAUCGCGCUUCUGGGAGGCGGUCAAUGUGCGAAAAUUGGCAAUAAGUAUUUUAAGCUCUUCUCCGGUGAACUGAUCAAAUGAGCCAAAUGGGGUUUUAUCGUUUUGGCUGCUGCUUAUUGUAUCUUCUAGCGACAAUGAAGGCACUCCAGAGAUAAACUCUGAAGAAUAGUUUGACGGCAUUUCUUCUGGCUCGCCGAUACUAGAGGACUGAACAGAUGACGGCGUCGUCGGAAUUGCGGCGGGAGAUUGAAUAGGACGCAAAAGACCAGCCUCUUGUAAAUUUUUAAUUAACGAUGCGAUGUCAAAGGACGUUGGACCACUGGUGGUUUGUCCAAAGUUUAUAAGUGGCGCAGAACGUUCUAGAAAACGAGUAACACUUUCGAUAGCCUGGGAGGCUGCCUUGGCUUUAACUCCAUCCAAAAUUCCAGCACAAACUAAUCCUUUUAAUUUCUCUUUUGAUGUGUCAAGCAAGUCGACAGCAAACGUAGCAUUUUCUUGCAACAACUGAGACGAACUUCCCGUUUGGCAGCGUUCGGCUGAAAGAGCUCGUGUUAGCAACUUUGUAAUGCUCGGGCCAAGUGAUCCCAGGCUGUCCUCAAGCGCGACUAGCAUACGCAGUACUUGUAUUAAAGUUGGGUCGCACGAAAUCCAAUCGUUUGCGGAUUGGGAUGAACUGCCACCGACAACCGAAAUAUCCUUAGACUUGUGAAGAAUCCGUAAUUCUUCGAAAAAGGAUGACUUGAGAGGAUGGUCAGCAUUGGCUGGACUUUUGAUAGGUUGUUGAAGAUUUGGAGGGAGAUUUUUAAUUUUUGAUCCCUCAGAAUCCAUUCCUUUUUUGAGAUCAGGUGUUGAUUUAAUUUCGUUCGAGAUUUUUUUCCAGCCAAAUUGGAGCCGCCGCUGACCUUCGCUAUUAGAACCGAAAGCUUUGCCUUUGAGGGUGUCAGCUUGGUCAGUUUGGUCGUUGGCUAAUCUGUACUUGUUCAUUAAUUCCGUUUUCUUAGCUUCAAUUUCCUUUUCAUCUAGUCUUUGCAUUCGCUCGAACCAAACCUUGAACCACUCGCGCUUAAAGUCAUGCAUGUACGGAUUUUUUCCUUGUUUUUCGGUCUCCGAAAAGCGUCUCUUCCAGAAAAUUUCCCACUCGAUGGUGUAUAGCGGAUGGUCUUGUGGACGCUCCUUGUAAAUUCGCUGUUUUUGGCUUAAUGCUUCUUUGAAUUCCUUUAAUUUUUCUUCAACUUUUGCCAUUAAGUGAAUUUCAUUCGUUGUUUUUGUUGCCGUUAUCUUUUUGUGGUUAUUUUCUUUCCGCUGUUUCUUCGGAGUUUGACGGUUUCUACCACAUCGUCUAACUAAAUCCUCACGGCGUUCUUUAUCGUACUCGGACCGAGCAUCACUCGUCGACGACUGUCGCAUUUCAGUAUAACGCCGUUGGCGUCUCCGAGAGCGUCCACUGGAAGCGCGGCCUGAACGUAAUCGCUUUGGAGAUGGAGAUCGAGACCUGGAAACAGUAACACGACUCAUGGAACUGCAUACUGAACGUAAUUGCUUCGGAGAUCGAGAAUGGCGCCUACAGGAUUAGCAUAACUUAGAUGUCACGAUUCAUAUGAACAUGUACUAUAUGUUAAGGUACCUCGACACUGAACGUGAUACGACGCGAUUAAGAGCGUUCAAAGCGGAUUCGACCUUUUUUUGAACGAUUUCCUCUUCGACUGUGAUGACUUCAUCACAUUCUGCAGAUUGACACACAGGAAUUUCCGCUGACAAUUCCUGUUUGUCUCCUGAAACUGACUGCGCUUGCACAUCCAAAGGCUUCGCUUUUUCGCGCCAUGUGGUUCUGCAGCUACCUUCAAUGGCGAAUAUUACGUCUUGAUAUUUUUAAAAUAAAAAGCUUUAUACCUGUUUUGCUUGGGACACGAAGCGCCGCAACACCAAUACGUUUUUCGCACGUUUCACUUUGGAAUAGCAAACAUAUAUUAACAAAAUAAUGGCGAGCAAAUAGUGCAGUAAAAUUACCCGUCAGUUUCGAAAAUCGAUUCAUCUGAUGACAGAGUGAUAGCUUCAUCGAUCGCUAUUGCUGUACGACCCUUUUCGAUGGGGAGCGCACAUUUGUCAGCUAUCUCCAUUCCAGCGUUAUUUGUCAAACCUUAAAGAAAAAAGGUAACAAAAACCAAAUUAUUUCCGAUCCUAGUGAGUAGCUUCGUUUAACUACCAGAACCUAAAUGCAGGGCGAUAGAGAAUUCGGAUUUUCCGUCCUUGGCACAUUCCCCGGAUUUCAUGUCAGUAAAUGGAGAGCCAAUGUCGUCAUAAAGCAAAUCUGGCGUCUCUCUUGAAUAGGAAUUACG